ensembl:lncRNA
UAGCGAAUUCUGAAUGGAGACUUCACGUACAACCACCACUAGAUGUCAACCACCCCUCCCAUUGGAGCCUCACCGAAAAACUCACUUUCCCUUGCAGCCUUGCGGCUCCCCCCUCCCAUCUCGCGCCUUCCCUCUUGUCUCUCCUCGAACUGCUAGCCAUCGGUGUGUGUUGUUGUUGAAGCAAUGAUGGCGGCAGCGGGAUGCGGAUCAGCAACCGCGGCUGCCGUAGGAGGCCAAGGUGGAACCGCUACGGCCAGAGGUCGUUUCCCCGGUCGGCCUUGGUCGUCACGCAGUCGUUUGCGCUCCGAGAAGCGAUGGCAACUCGGACGAUCAGGCUCAGAAGCUGAUGAUGUGACUAACGGAGGGCCAAGGCCCGCAAACCUGGUUCUAUCGUUAAACGAUGACCAGUCUCACUUACGUUUGCUUGGAAUAGAGGCGAGCCACCAGACCCUUGGCCAGGCUGGAUACAGCUCUAGUGGGAGUGAAGAGGUGAGGUCCCAAACCGACCCAGGAGGAGAUGACUUUAGAGGAUUUGAAGCUGAGAGAAAAGGCUCCAAAGGACCUGUAUGGUCACGACAAAACCCUUCCAAAGGUGAUGCUGUCAGCACAAAAUCUAAACGACAAAGUGAGAAGCUACCGCAUAAAACGCCAGCAGUGGAGGCAGAUAUUACCCCACCUGAUCAUGUAAAGGAUGUAAAAUCCUUGGAGGAAACACAAGGAUUAUAUCCUGAAGCAGAGCCUGAAAAGGAUUGCAGGAAAGUUUUGAAAGGCAAAAGCACUAUGGAUCGACAGUCCACGAAAGGCGGAGCCUCAUCAGCAGCACCAAGGAUUACUAUAAAGUUGGUGGCCAAAAAGAAAAUUAAAACCGUAAUGGAGCCUCGUAAAAAAUCUGCAAAGAAGUUGAAGAUAAAAGAAAUCCAGGAUCAGCCCAAAGCCAAGGAUAUUCAGGGCGACCAGAUUUCAAGUGCUCAUGUCAAAUUAAAAACUGAACCGCAUGAGGACGAACAUGGCACAGAAGAUAAGAGAGGGGGGACUGUACCUGCAAGAAGGCGUGGGAGAUCUGCCUCAAAGACAACCGAGCCUGUCUGCCAGACUAGCGCCAAAGUUGUGGUUGAAGACCAAAAAACGAAAGAUGGAAAAUCGACCGAUCUAUUUGACACUGUAAAGGAGAGCGUGACUGUGGAGCCAAAAACAAAUGCAAAGAAAUUAAAGCAUAAAGAAAUUGUGACCGAGCAAGGUUUGGAAGUUAAUCAACAAGUCAUUCGUAGGAGCAAUAGAGUCACUAACCCAUUCACUAAAAGAGUCUCAGACAGUGCAGCUGAACCAGAAAGUCUGAAUAAAAGUGAUGCCAUUCUGGUGGAGUCAAAGCCAGAAGUUUCUCAAACAGUGGAGACCAAAUCAUCAGUGAAAAGUGACAGGCGAAGGCAAAGCAAGAGGCUGAAUAAGGAUGCUACAGUGCCAGAAAACCAUGGUCCAUCAUCCACAGAGACGGAUCAUUUAGCUGGAUCCAGUGACAGUUUGCCUUUGAAAAACGAGGAUAUACGAGUCCCAAGUUUAAAGUUGAUGAAGAUCAAAAACCCAAAAUAUGAUUCACAAGCCAGUAAGAAGAAUUCUACUCGAAAGAAGAAAAAACCAAGAAAGAAAUUUGUCUGGACUUUAACAUUAGUGAAGGGAGAAAGCCAGGCAAUGGGUACUGAAAACACUGUCAAAGUAACAGAGAAGACUGUAAGUGAAGAGGAACCGUCCACCUUUUGUGACCUCAGUGUCGACAAGAGUUUGAAGACUGUGGAUAAAAAAUCCAAACUGGAUAACUCAGGCCCCACAAGAGAGUAAAAGCUUAGACAAUAAUGAGAAUGGUUCCCAAAACGAAGUUGGCGUGUCAAUUGAGGAUCAGUCCACUUUACAGGUAGAAGUUGAAGUGGAACACGCAAAUAAAACUC